rnacentral:rRNA from 1 species
UACGGGGGGGGCAAGCGUUGUUCGGAAUUACUGGGCGUAAAGGGCGCGUAGGCGGCCUUCUAAGUCGGACGUGAAAUCCCUCGGCUUAACCGAGGAACUGCGUCCGAUACUGAAAGGCUUGAAUCCGGGAGAGGGAUGUGGAAUUCCAGGUGUAGCGGUGAAAUGCGUAGAUAUCUGGAGGAACACCGGUGGCGAAGGCGGGUCUCUGGGCAGUAACUGACGCUGAGGAGCGAAAGCGUGGGGAGCGAACAGG